CAGCCGUAAACUAUGCGCGUUAGGUGUAUCGGUGACCACGAGUCACCGAGGUGCCGAAGGGAAACCGUGAAACGUGCCGCCUGGGAAGUACGGUCGCAAGGCUGAAACUUAAAGGAAUUGGCGGCGGAGCACAACAACGGGUGGAGCCUGCGGUUUAAUUGGACUCAACGCCGGACAACUCACCGGGAACGACAGCAAUAUGUAGGCCAGGCUGAAGACCUUGCCUGAAUCGCUGAGAGGAGGUGCAUGGCGUAGACGUCU
rnacentral:rRNA from 1 species